AGAAUCAACGCUGGCGGCGUGCCUAACACAUGCAAGUCGAACGAGAAAGUGGAGCAAUCCAUGAGUAAAGUGGCGCACGGGUGAGUAACACGUGACUAACCUACCUUUUAGUGGGGGAUAACCUAGGGAAACCUGGGCUAAUACCGCAUAAUACCUACGGGUCAAAGCAGCAAUGCGCUGAAAGAGGGGGUCGCGGUCGAUUAGUUAGUUGGCAGGGUAAUGGCCUACCAAGACUGUGAUCGAUAUCCGGCCUGAGAGGGCGCACGGACACACUGGAACUGAAACACGGUCCAGACUCCUACGGGAGGCAGCAGUGGGGAAUUUUGCGCAAUGGGGGAAACCCUGACGCAGCAAACGCCGCGUGGAGGAUGAAGUCCCUUGGGACGUAAACUCUUUCGAUCGGGACGAUAAUGACGGUACCGGAAGAAGAAGCCCGGCUAAACUUCGCGCCCAGCAGCCGC
rnacentral:rRNA from 1 species